rnacentral:tRNA from 1 species
GGAGGUAUACUCAAGUCUGGCUGAAGAGAAUAGUCUUGAAAACUAUCAGGCGGGUCAAACCGCGCGGGGGUUCGAAUCCCUCUACCUCCUCCA